CACUAUAGACAACAGCCGCACGCCUCAACAUAUAGUUCCAAAGGCUUUGUGACCAGGGGGAUUAGCGCUGCUUUCCCAAGACAUGUUUUUAUGUGUAUGAUCUUCAGGCUUUGCCUAAUCAGGUUGGCUGGCCGGUGCUGACGGGACGGAGCUGAGGCUAGAGUUAAAAUUCAUAUGUUAGACUUCCACUGUAGCAAUUACUCUUAUACAUCUUUUGUUUUCUCAACUUAAGAUGACUUCAUGUCGAGCUUAAAUUUGAAAUUCUAGUUUUAUGCUAAUGAAUGUUGGUUGUCAGAAACAUGAAACAAAACUUGUGAUCCAAAGGGGCAUAGCCCGACUUUCUAUCCUAUUUUGGGUUUUAACGAGGUA